UAUCUUUUUCAAUAUUUACACCAUAAAAAAAAACGAACCCUAAAAUUCUAUCUUCUUCGUUCCAUCUUCUCUGCCUGCAGCUGCCUUUUCCCGUAGCCUUCCUCCUCAUCCUCUCCAGUAGUAGCUGCAUCUCCAAGUUCGAUCUUGAUCUUCUCCCAUAGCCGCUGCAUCUUCAGGUUCGUUUUCUUGAUUUUUCCAUUGAAAAAUUCAAUUUUAUGGGAAAAUUUCAAUCGGAAUCAGAGCAGCGACUACACGUCGGAGGACAAAGGCACGGAGGACUACCGGCGCGGCGGCUACCACACCGUCCGAAUCAGUGACACUUUCAAAAGUGGAUGGUAUGUCGUUCAAACCAAGCUCGGCUGGGGCCAUUUCUCCACCAUCUGGCUCGCCUGGGACACCUAACACUCCAGAUUUGUUGCUCUGAAAGUGCAAAAGAGUGCUGACCACUACACCGAGGCGGCCAUGGAUGAGAUAACCAUCUUGAAACAGAUUGCAAAGGGAGAUUUGGAUGAUAAAAAAUGUGUGGUGAAGAUUAAUGGAGCAAGGGUAAAUUAGUCAUUCAAUCUUUUGGUUCCGUUCCGUCCAGUGCAUACCAAAUGCAGAACGGAACAACUGUCCCAUUCCGUCAUGUGCGUACCAAACAUAACACGAAACUUUCGUUUUGUCCCAUCCUGUCCCGUCCUGUCUCAUCCCGUUCCGUUCCGUCCCGUCCCAUCUGCAUACCAAACGGUACCUAAAGUAUAGAUUUAGCAGAGACUAGAGCUUUAAUACCUUGCCGCGAGAAUAUCAUUAUAAGUUGUAUAAUAGUGUUAGAAUAAGAUAUUAAAUGAGUUGUAAGCACAAUCAUAGAUAUAUCAAAAAAACUAUUUACAUAAAA